CAUGCAAGUCGAACGAAGUAGCAAUACUUAGUGGCAGACGGGUGAGUAACAUGUAGGUAUUUGCCCUUUGGCCUGGAAUAACACGAGGAAACUUGUGCUAAUACCGGAUAAGUCUUUACGGAGAAAGCUUUAUGCACCAUUGGAUGAGCCUGCACUUGAUUAGUUUGUUGGUGGGGUAAUGGCCUACCAAGACUGUGAUCAAUAGCUGAUUUGAGAGGAUGAUCAGCCACAUUGGGACUGAGACACGGCCCAAACUCCUACGGGAGGCAGCAGUGGGGAAUCUUGCACAAUGGAGGAAACUCUGAUGCAGCGAUGCCGCGUGAGUGAAGAAGGCCUUUGGGUUGUAAAGCUCUUUCGUCGGGGAAGAAAAUGACUGUACCCGAAUAAGAAGGUCCGGCUAACUUCGUGCCAGCAGCCGCGGUAAUACGAAGGGACCUAGCGUAGUUCGGAAUUACUGGGCUUAAAGAGUUCGUAGGUGGUUGAAAAAGUUGGUGGUGAAAUCCCAGAGCUUAACUCUGGAACUGCCAUCAAAACCUUUCAGCUAGAGUAUGAUAGAGGAAAGCAGAAUUUCUAGUGUAGAGGUGAAAUUCGUAGAUAUUA
rnacentral:rRNA from 1 species